CCCAAUCUUGAGGUGAUUUCAACAUCAAACCCAACUCACAGCAACACAGUCCAAGAAGCAGGAAGCACACACAGCCCGGAAUACGAGGAGGAGGCCCCCACGGACAACUGGAGAAGGAGCAAAGCAACCAAGUGGUUCUUGAAGGGGAAUGGCUUAUGCCAUGAGGACCAAAAGGCUUCUGCCCAGAUGACUGCGAAUUUAUAAAAGUGGUUAGAAAUAAGGACUGGACAACUGGGGGUUUUUUCCUCCUGUUUUCUGUACCCAGAAUCUACACAAACAUCAAACCUAUUGGCUCUGGACAUUUUAGACGACGGGAGUACUAGAAGAACGACACUGUACUACUAAGGUGAGCAGCUGAACGCUCAACAGCAGUAUGGUCAUUUCAUAUCCAGGGGUUCAAAGAAUCUGGGGUUCAAUCAUUUUCCUUAACUGAUAAGCCAUGUUAUCCCAGAUCAAUGAUUUUUACCUCUUAGGCUUUACUUUUCUCAGCACAAUGGGAACAUUCACUUGGGAAACACUCCACUUGAGUUGUCCUUAGGAUUGCAUAAUAAUAAUUUAUUUGUGUGCACUUACUAUAUGCCCAGUGUAUACUAAAUGCUUUAUAUACAUAUUACCUCAUUUAAUUCACACAACCCCCUCUCAGAAGUAGGACUGCUAUUACCUCAGUUUUACAGAUGGGUAAGGUGAG
rnacentral:lncRNA from 12 species